UUUCUCCUGCAGAGCCUGAGCUGAGUCCACACCCUGGAAGCCAAGAACCUAGGGAUCAGAUGGAAGAAAGAAAGUCAGCAGGUUUUGGAAAAGAGAAUAACCUGCAAAGGACAAGUCAAUGCUAGAACAGAAAUUGGAUUGGUAACAUUGAAGAGACACUUCUCACCUGCCUGAAAUGCCCUUCAUUAUCUUUUUCAAGUUGCAAGGGCUCUGGAACAGCCCUUACAGUGCUCCCAUAAAGGGAGCCUUGGGAGGAGCCUGAAUCACGGAUGGAAUUGGACAGUGCAUGGAGAUGGUUGAGCAGGAUGAGGGUAAGUGCAGGGGCAUGGCCAGGUCAUACUGGGAGACAGUGAGUGGCACUGAUUGGGACAGACAAAGAGAAAGUCAACA